ACAGCCAUGCUCUUUUCAGAGGCGCUCUGUGCCAAGACAGGAAGCAGCAGGCAUGAACUGGAACACAAGAGAUUCCAGCUAAACUUCAGGAAGAAUUUCUUCACCAUACAGGUGGCCCUGCUUGAACAGUGUGGGUUGGACCAGAUCACCUCCAGAAGCCCCUAUCAAACUCAAACAUUCUGCUAUUCCGUGAUCUACUGAAUACCUUUGCUCAAAUUGCUGAAGGAAAUUCCUAGCAGUAUCAAUCCCUCCAGGAAUGCCAAGCAAGUAUGGACAAUGAGCAAGGACAUUCUAACUAGGAAACUGGUUCAAGUAAGCACUGCGAUGGAUCAUUCUUCAGUUGAAGAGAUCUCAGUGCCUCAGAAUCCAAUGUCUUCCUCUACUUCAAAGAAUGUGGAUCAUCGAGUUCUCUAUAAUCACAUGGAGCAGUAAGACAGGAAGAGUCCAGAAAGUUCCCCUGGCCAUAACCAGACUCUUCAAGAUGGAUGUGUUCCCAUAGCAAACUGGUCCUACAUAUGAAACCUAAAUCUACCAUGACAUAUUUCUGAAAGAAAAGCAGUCAGUGACAUCCCUGUCUGAGAUACCAAUGUAAGUCUUCAUAUAAAGACAAUAAGCAAACUUAGCAUUAAGCUCCAUCACAACAAUGUAGCAAUCAAAUGAAAUCUGAAAAUAUUUUCAUUAAAGAAAAUUAUCUGGCUGCAUAAAUGCAUAUCUAGGAAAAACUUCCUAACCAGCACAGUAGCUUUCAUGCCUGAUAACUUCAUUCUAAUCUCAUAAAAACACCAAGAAAACUAGCACUGCACCUUCAAUUUGAAAGCAGUUCUUUUCUGACAGUGCGAUUUGUCAAAUCAUAUCUUUUUCAGAUAUACUAGUGUUUAUUUUGAAGUAUGAAUGAAAACUCUGUAUGUAUGGUACAGAAUAUUUAUAGUACAGAAAAAAAAAAAUCAAAGGGUUAUUUCAGUCAGUUUUUCCUUUACUGCUAUCAUAAUCUUCAAAUGUUUCAUUGGUUAGAAAGAUGAGAUUGGCUCUCUCAGAACCCCAAAACCAUGGAAAGUCAUAAAAGGCCUGCUUUCCUAACAAGCCUUUGUUUACAAGCAUAUUCCAAACAAAUGCUUAAAUACUAAGAAUCCCCACUAAGUCAUUACUUUAAUUAUGAGAUAACACAGGUUUUGUGCACGCGACUUCCAGAUUCUGGCAAUCUAAUGAUUCUAGCUGCUCUCCAGUCUGUCAGCCUAGAAGAUACAGUGCCUAUAAAAACAAACAGUAUUUUUGUCAGCUAUUUCAACUGUCAGCUCCUAGUUACUAUUUCAAACAGCUGUAGAAUAACAGUUGCCUUUAAUACUUUAAGCUACACAGCUGGGAAGCUGUGACUAAACAGCUCAGUGAUAUGAGGCCAUAACGUACAAAGCAACAAAAAGGAAAAGGAUGCAAGAAAAGCUGGCAUACGUGGUCCCGGCCCUCCUGGCUGCUUAAACUCAUGUUUGCCAAACAGUCUGACAGGCUGUCCAUCAACUGAAUCCUUAAAACCACUUCUCAUAAGGGAACCAGCAAAGAGGGAUAUUUUUAAGCUGGAUUUUUGCACACUUACAUACAACUUACAGUGAGACCUUGCAUACAGUUGGAGCAGCUUAACAGAGGAUUCACUGGAGUGAGAAAAACAAGGGGCUGAGGAUGAGAGGCAACGUAUCAAGUUGUCACAUGUGCAACUGCACACAACAACAGCAAGUUAAUUAGAAUUACUAUUUUUAAUCACAGAAAUACAACAGCUUUUUUUCCUUCCACUUGUAAGGUGAUUUAUGAAACAAAAAAUCCGCCCUUCCAAUACAGAAAGUUCCUUUAAAAGACUUGAUAAGCAGAUAAGGCAACACAGCAGAAUUUGUAUCUUCCUUUUCCCAAAUCAAGCCUACCUUCUCGGCGAUCAUUUCGAAGAACUCGCACUUUUUCAAUUUUUCCCAAUAGAGCACCAUCAUCAGCUUAAAAAUAAUAAUAAUAAUUAAAGUGAUCAAAACCAGUCUCAUUUACCACAAGUAUGUUUUUCUUCAAAAACAGAACAAAAACUUCAUAGUGGAAAGCAAUCAUAUUUACAAAUAAUUAAGAAUCAUGCUUAAAAAAUGCCUGUUUGUUUCUCCAGAAAUAAAGAAAAGUGACCAGGGUAAGAAAUUACCACCAUCAUUAUAUUAUUUAAAACUAAUUUUAUUUUACACUCAAAAUAUUUUUAAUCAAUUCUGCUCUUUUUGUUUACCUUGAGUAGUUUCUACAUUUCAUUAAGAAAAAAAAAAAAAAGAUUAAAACUUGUGUCUUCUUUGCUUACAGGAAAGCUUUUAAGCAACAUUAAGGUUUAAACUAACCUAAAGUAUCAAUCAGCAUUGCAAAUGUAGACAUUGACUUCCAUUAGAGUGUUACUCAGAGGUUCACUGUUCAAAUUAACAUUACAAUAUCCUAAAAGUUUUUAAAUCUUGACUUUCUUUAUUCACUAAGAAUUUUCCAAAAGUGAUGGAGAGCAGCAGCACUCCAAAGAAGUAUUUUGUGCAAGUGCCAUGGGUUUUAUUUUUGCAUCAUAAUGUACUAAGGGAAGGCUGUUUUCAACUCUAAACUCUGCUUCUUCUGCUAACAGGAAGUAAUAAAAUAGAUCUGAAGUAUUUUAGAACUCUUCAUGCUUCCACAAUGACAAACACAAAAGAAUUAAGAGCUGGUUUAGAACCAGACUUUACAAAUUCCCAUUCAUAUGACUAACUCCCAACUGAGUCACCUACUUUCAUUUAUGGAAAGACUCAGCAAAAUAAACAAAAUAACAUUUGGACACUAUAAAAGUACUUACGAUCAUUACUGUAGUCAUCCACUAGUAUGAUUUCCUUAAUAAGAUGUGAUGGGCUUUUUUUAAGGACACUGAAACAGACAAAAAAGCAUUCAAUACAAAGCAGUUUCCAUCUCACAUAAGCAGUGCUUUUAAUGACAUUAUUUGUUAAACUACAGUCUAAUACAGUCCAGGAUCCCAUCUUUCUACAACAGCUAUUAGCUUACUCAGUAAAGAGUUUGUGAAAAAAAGAGCACAGAGUUGUUCUUCCCUCAGAUUUCCAGCCUCCAGAAAUGAGUGAAUUAGACAGUUUGGACAAUGGAAGCUUUGCAGAUAUCCUCAGAUAAAGUAGCCCCUGAAAAAUCCAUCUUCCACGUAUUCUUCUUGAAACCAUUUAUACAACCAAUCUCAAGAUAUCUUCUUGCAAUUAAUUUCACACUUUCACAUGUUUGUAGUUAAGGGAAGCAUUUUUGUCUGUUUAAGAUCACUCUUUCAGGAUGUAAGACCUGGAGGCAUCAGUGAAAUUAAGAGCCAGCUUCAUCCUUUGUAAAUGGUACAAGAAAAGCAUAAUGGAUUGCUUUGGAUGAUGGAUUUGCUACUUCUCUUUACCAAAAGCUAUUCUAGCACAAGCAAAGUGCUUUUUGUGGGGAAAAAAAAAAAAAUACAAAGUCAUGGAUUGUCUCCCAGGCAUACCUGACAACAGUUCGAAGUAAAGCAGAUCUUGCCUCAUUAUGAAAGGUGAUCACCACACUAGUGGCUGGCAAAUCUAUCCGCCAUUGUUUCCGUUGACACCUGAAAGACAAAAAGCCUGUCAAUCUAACAUUUACAUUACAGUCUUAACAAACAGUCUUCAUCAAAAAGCAGUUAUCUACUAAAUUGUGUACACACUGUACCUACCUACAAAGAAUGAUGUAUCUUAUUUUCAAACGAGACGAUUUAUAAUCAGCUCCUCUUUUACCACUCUUGACACUCGUCUUUGUAUACAACAGACUGAGCCAGGGUCAGAUUUGGGUAGAUAAACAUUGCUGUACUACAAUCGCCGUAGUUUACUGUACAUACCUUUCAUGCAACUGAGUAUGAAACCAGAGUUCUAUUUCACUUCAAGACCACUUAUUAAGUCUAAGUAAAUGAGCACAUUAAUAAAAAAGCAGAGGUUCACAAGCUGUACGUGUCUCCUUUAGAAAAGCACUCAUCCACUUUCCCUUUUAUUUUUAAUACUGCAUCCUAGUCUUGCUUGUACAAGUAACUUCUCAUUAGCAUAGAAAACUGUUUAAGAUUGAGACUUACAAUAGCCCAUCUACACUAACUCAUUUUUCGUGAUCUCUUCAAAUAAUAAGCAAAAAAAACCCCAAAAUUCUAAAAAUACACCAACUCUUGUACAUCUACGUAAAAUUAAGCUACUUGAAUACCUUGACAAUAAACCUAAAAAAGGACUCGUUCUGCAAUGAGAAUAGCAUACUAAAAAUGGUGUAACAAAGAGUUUGUAUUAAAAUCAUUGCUGUCUGA